GGCCUCUGCGCAGGCGCAGCGAGGGGAGGCGCGAGCGAGUCCUGCGCAAGCGCAGAGCGAAGGGCCGGGCACAGCGGAGGGUGUGAGGAAGACAAUGGGGAGGACCCCGAGGCGGCCUCUGAGCCGACAGGAACACGUAGUCCAUCAGAGAGAGACUCGAGGUUCGUGAAAGGAUGGGGAGGACCCUGAAAAGCACUGUGGAAUACAGGUUUCUAGUAACUUCAAAAUCACAUCAUUUGGACUGGAACCCAAAGAUGGGAUCUUCUGAGAACAUCAGAGAAAAACUGCCCUUGGCAUCCUCACUGCAACAAAACAUCAGGAUCUUGAACCUUGGGGUCAUAAUCUCACAACUGAGCAGGGUCACUCCACACUCUUGGAACUGUACAUCCAUUGAAACCCUUAAGGUAAAGCUAACCAGGGAAGUUUCUCCCCAGAAGAAGGUGGCAUCCUUGAUGUGAGUAGCUCUUUCUGAAGAUCAUGGAUCAAGACUUCUUACUAUCAUGAGACUCUUAUCUUUAAAUGUUUUUCCCUUGCUUCUGCCUCUAUGAACAAUAGAAGUGAGAAGGGGGUCUGUUUUGUGCACUUAUGGGGUAUACUUUUAUUUGUGAAGGGUUUUGCAGCCAGCUUUAUACAUGGAUAAUCUUAUAACUUGAUAGAUAAAAGAUGAAGGCCCAAUGUAUCAUAGGUGAGAAACUUAAAUGGUACAUACGGUGCCUCAUAAUCAUUCAGAAACCAAACAUUGGUUCACUCCUCUUAACCCACAGCAUGGGUUAAAGAGAACAUUGCCAGGAGGCCUUCCCUUUUCUAGAAGGGCAUCAUUUGUUAGGUCCUUUUUCCAUGGUUUGGAAUAAAAAUGGCAAUGACUAGAAACGUAUCCCUCAUGGUAGACUCUAUAGCAUAUUCUACUGUAAAGGCUACACAACAAAUGUUAAAUUCUCUUGUGAAAGUUAUGCUAAAAAAUAGAAUUGGCUAAACAGGAAAGUACCUGUGCAGACGCUGGCACUUAAGGCCUAUGGAGAAAACAUCAGGUGUUAUAGAGAUUCUGUUGUAGGGAAUUAACGAAAAGAUCACUGAGUUAAGUAAAAGAAUGAGCUUUAUCUAGCUCAUUCUUUGGUCUACUUGAGUUUAGGUGGUUUGGUUUAUGGGGACCCUGGGUAAGGAGCAUACUUCAAAUUCUUGGUGUUACCCUCUCAGUAGUCAUAAGAAUAGUCUCCCUGGUGCACUGUAUUCUCUCAAAGGUUUUAAAUGUUUGCACGAAGCCAUCUUUAGAACGUCAGAUGGUCUCUCUUCAACUGGAAUGACAAGAGCUGAAAGAAAUGUGUGACCACGAGGACACCGUAACCUAUGAGUGACAUGUUGAGGCUGGAAAUCCAAAAUGAUAGUAAUGGAGAGUGGCGCUGACACCUUAAGUUUUGGUCACACUCUUGCCUAAGUGAGAAGCUGACCAAAAAGGGGGAUUUUUUAAACAAAAUGAUGGGAGGCCAUUGUUUUGGACUGAGCACUAGGUCCCAACAGACCAAACUGAACCAAAAUGGCAUCAUUCGUGCUAAAUGUGACAUAAUCGAAUUAAGACUUUCAGGAAACACAUGGAUCCUAGAAUAGACCAGGUUUUGUUUUUCUCUUGCAAACAGGACUUUCCAGCGUGAGGUGGUACCGUCAACUCAGCCCUUCUUCCUACCUUUGCAAAACUCACUGUUCUGCUUCCUAGUGGGUUUCAAGACCAAUGGUGAUAGUGACAUCAGUAACUCAAGUUUUGGUCAAUCUCUCAAAACUGAGAAAAUGACCAAAAGGGGGAAUUGUUAAAGCGAACUAAAUAUGGCCUGAGAAGGACUCCAUGCUUCUGCAUUGGAGUCCUUGUGGACAAACUGAGCCAAACUUAAUAGGUAGACAAGACUGAAAACCUAAAUUAGGAGUAUGCGCCUGUUACAACUGCUGAGUCUCGGCCAGUCCCAGCAGCCGUACUUCAAUCACUCAUACACUGCGGAAUGUUCAAACUGUGUUUAAAUAAGGCAAAUGCCAACCUGUAACUGAUCCAGGUGUUUCUCUACCUCACUUCCCUUUUUUUGUCUAUAAAUCUUCCACCACGUGGCUGCACUGGAGUCUCUCUGAAUCUGCUGUAAUUCUGGGGGCUGCCCGAUUUGUAAAUCAUUCAUUACUCAAUUAAACUCCUUCAAAUUUAAUUCAGCUGAAGUUUUAACAAGGGUAAGAUAAGAACUUGUGUUCUUAUCGCCCAGAAUGGACAAAUCAGUAGUGUUCCUUGUCGUUCGUUUGUGGCUGGUUUCAGGUAAAUAUUUUGUGUGUAUGAUAAUAUAAUUUGAUUUUAAUGAAUAUACUUUAAAAGCAACUUUUUUUUUUUUAUUCUUCCUCACCAUCAAAGAUGGAGAAAAGUAAGAAGUGCUGUCUUGCGGUUGCAUUUCUUCUGUGGAUGGUAAGAAGGGCUGUCUUCCGGUUCCGCUUCUUUUCUGGAUAGUAAGGAUGUUUAUCUUACUCUGUCUUCAUUGUCCUCAAACCUCAAGUAGUCACUAAUACCCUGGCUAUGACAGCUUUUAUCGUAGUGUUAAAUGUUAGAUUUAUUUACUUGGCAAACAUUGUCAAGUCUCAGAAAAAUUACCCCAUGGUCUUGCCUUCUUUCCUGUGAAUUGCCUUCCACUGGUAGAGAAGAUUUGAUCUGUUCCCUGCUCAUCAAUUCUUCUAGCUUCUUUGGGAUGUCGACUCUGCAUAUCUACUAGGGAAUUAAGAAAUAAUGGCUUCAGCAAGAAACAAGGCAGGAAAGUGCAGUGACAUGAGAACCAUACAGGGAAGGAGCUGUCCCCAAAGGUGAGAAUGGCACUGGACAAGGGUUCUCACUGUGAUGUUGCUCAGACCGGACUACCUGGACCUUUUCAUCACCGUGCCUCAGCGAAAUCAGUCGUUGAUUCUCUGAUCCGUUACUGAGAUCAUCAUGAAAUCUCCCUUGUACGAGAGUUGCAGAACUCUGCAGUAUCAAUCAUAGUGUUUGGGAGAGAGGACUUUCUACCUCCAUCCUUUUUCUGUACCUAAAUGGAAUGAAAAUUAGAACUGUUGCUUAUUCUUUAAGGUAAAUUAAAAUUCCCUUAUCCAA